rnacentral:snRNA from 1 species
GAACCCGAUCACUAACGUUCUUUCUUUCAAACAGCGAUACAGAGAAGAUUAGCAUGGCCCCUGCACUAAGGAUGACACGCUUCAACAAAGAGUAGCUAAAAGUUUUU